rnacentral:rRNA from 1 species
UACGCUGGCGGCACGCCUAACACAUGCAAGUCGAACGAAGUAGCAAUACUUAGUGGCAGACGGGUGAGUAACAUGUAGGUAUCUGCCCUUUGGCCUGGAAUAACACGAGGAAACUUGUGCUAAUACCGGAUAAGUCUUUACGGAGAAAGCUUUAUGCACCAUUGGAUGAGCCUGCACUUGAUUAGUUUGUUGGUGGGGUAAUGGCCUACCAAGACUGUGAUCAAUAGCUGAUUUGAGAGGAUGAUCAGCCACAUUGGGACUGAGACACGGCCCAAACUCCUACGGGAGGCAGCAGUGGGGAAUCUUGCACAAUGGAGGAAACUCUGAUGCAGCGAUGCCGCGUGAGUGAAGAAGGCCUUUGGGUUGUAAAGCUCUUUCGUCGGGGA